rnacentral:rRNA from 1 species
UACGGAGGGAGCUAGCGUUGUUCGGAUAUACUGGGCGUAAAGCGCACGUAGGCGGCGCAGCAAGUCAGGGGUGAAAUCCCGGAGCUCAACUCCGGAACUGCCUUUGAAACUGCAGUGCUAGAAUCCUGGAGAGGCGAGUGGAAUUCCGAGUGUAGAGGUGAAAUUCGUAGAUAUUCGGAAGAACACCAGUGGCGAAGGCGACUCGCUGGACAGGUAUUGACGCUGAGGUGCGAAAGCGUGGGGAGCAAAUAGG